ensembl:lncRNA
UUUUUUUUUUUGGUCUUUUGUCCUUUCUAGGGCUACACAAAUGGCAUAUGGAGGUUCCCAGGCUAGGGGUCAAAGCAGAGCUGUAGAUGCUGGCCUAAGCCAGAGGCACAGCAACACCAGAUCCGAGCUGCAUCUGUGACCUACACCAUAGCUCAUGGCAACGCCAGAUCAUUAACCCACUGAGCAAGGCCAGGGAUUGAACCCACAACCUCAUGGUUCCUAAUCAGAUUCGUUUCCACUGCACCAGGAUGGGAACUCCUGAUUGGUGAUUUUUUUAUUUUUCAUUGUGGGUUGUGGGGUUUUGUUAUAUUGUUUAAUAAUAUCAAAUCAUGAUCUAACUAGCAGUUAAAUGACCUGGAAUCAGUUAGAUCUUUGUGAUGUCUGCUUUUAAGCUUUGUUAAGUGCAGAGCAACUUUUAUUGUAGGACUUACUUAGCACUAUUCAUAACGCAACAUUUUUUCUGAGGAUUCUACCUGAUGUUCUAUGUAUUAUGAAAUUUCCCCUCCUGCUAGUAGGAACACAAGCCCUUUAUCCCCUGUGAGCUCCAGAAUUUUUUUUGUUUCUUCCUUUCUAGUGUUUUCCAAAGUCUGGCAUAGUUUACUCUCACAAAUGCAUAGAUCAUUACUCAAAGAUCUGGGAACUCUGAAAAACUCCAGAGCUGUCUCUAAGAGAAGAUUCCUCCUGUUGGUACUUUGCCUUAGAAUUCUAUCUUGGCCUCCCUGAUUUCUAAUAUCUGUCUUUUCAAGUCAGGGAGACGUAUGGGUCUUGUCUGGGUUCCCCUACCCUGCACAGUGGCUGGAAACUGCCUCCAGGCAGUCAGCUGCUGUAAUGGUAGGUCUCACCUUGUUUGUUUCCUUUUUCUUAGAGUUCACAGCCCUAUUUUGCCUCAUAUUCAAUGUUUUAAAGCUACUGUAACAUAUAUUUUGCCCAGUUUUUUAGUUUACCAUUCCAUCAUAGCCUGAAGCAGAACUCUUACAAAGGUAUAAUUUUUAAGAUAGAAAAAAGUAAACCAGAGUUUACUGUCUAUAGAGAUGAAAGCAGAUUUAAAUAAUUAUUUCAGGGUUCUGAUGAUAAUGAUUAUUUUGAAAUUUAUCUUUAGCCAGUUUUAAUAAAAGAUAGUACUUAUGGAGUUCCCACUGUGGCACAGUGGGUUAAGAGUCUGACUGCAGUGGCUCAGGAUGCUGUGGAGGUGCAGGUUCAAUCCCCAACCCAGUGCAGUGGGUUAAAGGAUCUGGCAUUGCCACAGCUGUGGUGCAGGUCACAGCUGUGGCAUGGAUUCAGUCCCUGGCCUGGGAACUUCCCUAUGCUACAGGUGCAGCCAUUAGAAAGAAAAAAAAAAAAAAGUUUCCAUUGCGGCACAGUAGAAAUGAAUCCAACUAGGAACCAUAAGGUUGCCGGUUUGAUCCCUGGCCUCGCUCAGCGGGUUAAGGAUUGGUGUUGCCAUGAGCUGUGGUGUAGGUCACAGAUGUGGCUCGGAUCCUGUGUUGCUGUGGCUGUGGUGCAGGACGGCAGCUACAGCUCCGUUUUGAACCCUGGCCUGGGAACCACCAUAUGUCACAGGUACGGGAUUGAAUCAGAACUGCAGCUGUGGGCCUACACCACACCACAGCAAUGGCAGAUACGAGCCACCUCUUUGACCUACAUCACAGCUCAUGACAACACCAGAUCCUUAAGCCACUGAGUGAAGCCAGGGAUCAAACCCACAUUCUCAUGGAUACUAUUUAGGUUCAUAACUGCUGAGCCAUAAUGGGAACUCCUCAAGACACUUUCUAAAUGGAGUAAAAAGAAAAAGCACGACACAAUUUCAGUACUCAGAGACAGUAAUGAUGGGUUUUCUAUUUGCAGUCUCACACAGGGAAACAAUUUAAAAAAGAAAGAAGUCACUUACUUCAUUAGUAGUGGUCGCAAGUAACUUGAAGAUCCAGGUCAAGUGUGAACUGCUUCUUCAGUUCAGCGGUGAUACAUACACAGCUUAGUGAGGCAGGACAUAAGCUGAGACUGAAAAUGUGGAGAAAUCUCUGCUUUCCAUAUAAUAAAAUUCAACAAACAUCGGCAAUCACUUCACUUCUCUCUUCGGAAGAAAAAAAGAAGGCCUGUUUCAAUUUCCAUCAUCCUCACUCUUUUUUUCUAAUCUUACUAUAAGAAAGUGUAAGCCUUUUCUAACACUGGAGCUGGCCCAAAUGGAAUAGGUCACCAUUAAAAGCAGCUUCUUACAUAGAGUGGCUAAUUCUCCAUUAAUUCUCAAAUUGAUAAGCAUAUCUCUAUCCUUAGAACUUACAUAGGUAAAUUCUGCUUCAAAACAGAAAUUCACUUUUUUGGGGGGGCCACACCCAUGGCAUGCAGAAGUUUCUGGGCCAGCAGUUGAACCUGUGCCACAGCAGCAACCCAAGCUGCUUUAGAGACAAUGACAGAUCUUUAACCCACUGUGCCACAGAUGAACUCCAAAAAUUCACAUUUUGAAAUACAUAUAUUUUUUCCCUUUUGCCCAGAAGAAAAUGCUGUAAAUUUUUGGUGUUGGUCAGUCAAUAAUUUGCUUUUAUUUAUAUAAAAAUGGGGGAGGGAGAAGCAAAAUGCAGUGAUAGUUAUCUGCCUUAAACUUUAUGGAUAGAAGAUAACUUAUUGGGACUAGAGUAAGACCUUUCCAACCAUUAGUGGUGAUGGAGAUUUUAUAUCCAGAAGUAAUUCUAGCAAAUCCCACAUUCUGUAAAUUGUCUCCAUUCCCUCCAGACACACUUUGAGGCCAAAUACCCAUAGAUAUUUACUUUUAACUUGGUUUUCCAUUAUUUCCAACUUUUGUUGAAGAAGGACAUUUUCUAAUUAUAGCAGAGAUUUUUAAGAUGGUCCAAUUCAGUUCACGUCAUAUCACGUUGCACUGUAACAGUUUGUAAAUUUAUCUUUGCUUUUUCCACAUUGCCUUCCAAUUUUAAACCCGUGGGGCAAAUGCUUCAAGUUUACCUUAAUCCUCUCUUUACUGACUUUAACAGGCUAUAAAAUAGUUUAAGAUGAACCUCAAAAGGCUUGUCAGGAUUCACCUGGUCCUCAGGCUGUGGAAUCCUGAGAUAGCAAAUGCACUUACGAUGGGAAAUAAUUGGUGUUCACCCUUCCCCUCCAAUCUAAGUUAGGAAUGAUAGAUCCAAUACUAAGAAAUGGGACAAUAAGAAAUUCUGGGCAUAGACUAUCAUAAGAACUUCCUGUACUGAGUUUUGUUGAGAAAGCCUUGUAGGGAUUUUUUUGGGAAAGAAGAGGGCUUGGGCUGCCAAAGAUCUGGAUUCAAACCCUUGUUUGCUAGCUGAGAGUGUGAGCAAGAUAACCUCUCUGAAUCUUGGUUUCCUCAUGUGUGACACAGGGACAAGAAUAGUACCUACCUUAAUGGAUAUGGGAAGGAUUUAAUGAGAUCAUGCCUGGCAUGUCAAUGGUACUCAUACUUAAUGAGUUCUUACUGGUCCAGGCACUCCAGAAUGGGAGCAGAAUUACUUGCCCCCUCUCAUUGGAAAGCAGCCCAAAAAGACAGAGCUGCCCUAAGUAGCCAAGAAUGGAGGAGGAGCUGAUGAGAGGUAAGGAAGCAUGUCGUCAUCAGUCUUUUUUGUUUAAGCUGCGCUUCCCUCUCCCCAUUCUAUAGGACAGCCGGAGAGCAUAGACAGUGUGCUUGCACAACUCGGUUCUGAGUCCUUGAGUUCAUUUCUAAAUCUUCUUAAGAAGUGCUCCACAGCAGAAUCAAGCAGCCUCCAAAGGGGCAGGAGCCCUGUCCAACAGAUUCAAUGCAACGGUGGGCACCGGAGCCCUGGUGGCCAGACUGGCGUGCAGGGGGCGUGUCUGUGCCCUUGAAGGAGCAAACCUCUGACAGGCACAAUCAGUGUGUCUUCUUAACUCUCCUUCUAAAGUUAUUCAAGGGGACUGUGGUUUUGCCUUGAGCAAAACCCCCUUAACAGCCGGGAAUCUAAAAACAAACAACAUUAUUUUAUUAGGUUACCCCAGCAGAUGAAAGCAGUGUUCCAUUUGGACUCUUUCUGGAGUCAAUUAAUGCAUUAGCUAAAAAAAAUAAAAAUAAAAACUUAUGAAAAGGAGUUCUCGUUUUCCUCAGCAGCUGCUAAAGGAAAGCUUGCCACUGUGCUCCUGAGGACACGAAUGUCAGGCACAGAGAGAAUGAGUCCUCAACAACUGACAUUCCUUGAUGAGAGAAACUGCUUUUUAAAAGAAACUUUUUUAAAACUGUUACAUUACAACCCUAAUGUAACACUAAUCUCCAAGGGUGUGGUUUUUAAAAAAUCUUUAUUUUUAACCAUGACCAGGAAAUUUAAAUAUUAUAUACUUUAUAUGAAAGUUCCUAACUCAAAGUAACCAAUUAAUUAAAAUCAAUUUAAAUACCUGCAGUUACUUUAAUAAAAUACAUAUUUAUGACUUCUAAAGUCAGUGAACAAUACAUAAGACUGAUUUUUUUUCCAUUAUGGUUUUAACUACAGCAGUUAAAACUGCUACCGAAAAGGCAUAUAAAGUGGAAAAUAAUAGAGAUUGCUCAUUGGAAAAAAUAUUCUCAAAAAUCCAUCCAUCCAAAUAAUAAUCAAGAGUCCACUAAAAGUUCUAGGCACUAAGGAACUAGCCUCAAAGGCAUGGUCCCUACCCUCAUGGAGCCUAAUCUGGGCUUUCACGCUGAAGACUGGCACUGUUUUAAAAGAUAGACAUGGCAAUGCUAGAAUUUCCGCUGUAGCACAAGUGAAUUAAGGAUCCGACUGCAGUGGCUGGGGUCGCUGGGAGGCGAGGGUUGAAUCCCCUGCCUGGUGCAGUGGGUUAAGGAUCCUGUGCUGCCACAGCUGUGGCUCGGGUCACAGCUUCGACCUUUGUCUGGAAACCUCCAUGUGCGGCAGGUGUGGCCAAAAGAACUUAAAAAUUAGAAAAAAAGAAGUGGCAAUGCUUUUUGCUGCUUCAGACCUUAACAUGAAACUGUGAGCCCCCUGUGAUCCUCCUGACAUCUAAAACAGAACUCUUUGGUGAGGCUUGGGGGUAUUCCCACAAGGUAAAAUAAAAGGCACAAGCCUUUUGUGGGCAGAACAUUUGUGGAAAGAACAUUUCACUGCUCUUACCAGGGUAUGUGUCUUUUCCUUGGAAAAAUCCACGAAAAAUUGAAAAAUCAAAAAUCCUGAAAGUGUUUGAUUAUCUUGAACUCAAAAUGGGAUUUUGCUCAGUGGCAAAGUUACAAACUCAUCCCCACAAGUAUGGCUUCUGUGGUAAAAGGCACAUGAUGACUCUUAGGAUUUCUCUAGAAGGUUGAUAACUGGGGCCCUCAGACAGGAUUCAGCAAAUCCCUGCGGGGAGAUUUCCCUGCCCCUACCUGAAGAAUUCCAACGUGACUUGCUGAAUACCUAGCUGGGAGGAGGUUACAAAGUUUCAAGCACAAUUUGUUCCUGGUUUUUAUUCCCUGCUCACUGAGUUAUGUGCUGUUAAACAUUUCCAGAAGACUGUCAAAAUGUAAGCAUCCUGCGGUUUACAUAGGCCACACCAUUAAAUAACAUAUAAGCACAAAAUUUUAAACAUUGUUUUCCAGCAAUGGUAAAUAUUUUAGCUAAGUAAAAACUGAAGCUUGAAAUGCAAUAAGCAUUUAAAUGACUCCUUUCUGUGCCAGAAUUCUUAUUUUCCCCUGAGCAACCCUGGCUGCUUGGGAUUAAGGCGACCCCAGGGAGCACAGCGAAUGGCUGUGGGUUAUGAGGUGUAGCGUGAGCUUGGCGACAGCAUAUGCCACCCAGCCUCAAGAAACCCAGCCCCGACUGGAACCCAAGAAUCAGUGUGUUCACUCUGUGGUCAGCUCUACAUUUUUUCCCCUCCUAGAAAAAAAAAAAAAAAAAAAGUUGCUACAAAAUCAGGCCUCUCCCCCUCUCCCCACCAAGCAAUCAUGAAAUGGACCACGGGCAAAGGCAGAGACCC